GAAAGAUCGAUCGUGGAAAAUGUAAGCUCAGCACCAAUGUUAAAAGGACAAAGAAUUCAAAUCUACUACACUGUUAGGACUCUCUGAUAUCGCCCAGACUGCAGCUAGGAAAACAAUCUCUCCCUUUCCAAAGAAACAUAUCACUGCAAUGCCUCUUUAUUUCUCCAAGGAUCAAGAAUUACAUAAAAACAUGGUAACCAAGUUUACCCCCAAAAGGAGCGGUCUCCUUUUCUACACUGGAAUACCCAGUUUACACAGUCAAAAUUUCUUCACCUCCUCCUAGUGAAACCAGAGCACUCCAUAAAAACUGCCAUCAUUGCCCCAAGAUCAGUGGUGGGGCCAGAAAGGUGUGCCCCACACCAGUGAUCACAAUGUCAGCAAUUGCAUCACCAUUGGAGUCACCAAGUGAGUCACACAUCACCACGAGUAUCAAAGUGUUUGGCUUGUGCCUAGCUCUGACAAGCCUGAUCUAGUGACCUUUUGGCACACAAGACCAAUUGUCUGAGGUGAAAUUCAUCCCUAUGGGUCCUACCUAAUGAUCUUCCAAAUGUGGUGGCCCCUACCAAUAUGUUGACUGGAAUUAGUUGCAGUGGAGCUAGUACAUUAGGAGGAUUUUGAAGGGAAAAUCAAGAUUAGACCACAUCGGUGAUGGAGGACCAGACAUAAUUCGCAUUGGACAUGUAGCCAUGCAUCUCAAAAACCGAAGAAGACAUAUCAUCAUCUGAAGCUUCAAUUUCAAUCAGGUUGCGAACAACUGAGACACCAUAAACAGAUUUGAUGGCUUCUAGCCUUGAAGACGUGGC